UCGGCAUCCUUGGACCCAGGGUCUGGGUAGCCCAUGCAGGAGUUAUCAGGAGGAUGGCGACUUACCUCUUUCUCUUACUUCUUUAUACAAGUGUACAGUCCAGGCUACUGUCUAGGAAUCUAGGUCUUAAUAGUUGUUAAAGCGUUUUGAGAAGCUUGGAUGAAAAGCAGUGUGCAUGUAAAAGUAGUAUUCUAGUUCCUCACUUUUUAAAAUAUUCCUCCUGAUGGGAGGAGUGCCCUUUCUCUAGCGUAAUUUAAAAAGAGCCAGACAAAAACUCACUAAUUAUGGUUGUGAUUUAUUUAUUAGCUAUUACUUUCUAAGUAACACUUAGAUGUGAAACUUCAUAACCACACUCAUGUUUUCUAUACUUUUAUGGUAGCUUGUUAACAGAGAAAGAAUCCUGGCUGCUUUAACCUUUACAGAAUGUAACAGGAAAACUCAUUUAAAUGCAGUUUCCAGAUGCAUAUUUUCAUUGAUGGGCGAUAACCUGUUUGGGAAGGGAAACCAUUAAUGCAAAAAAACACCUUAACUGUUAAAAUUUCAGUUGCUUUAAGACACCUUAACUGUUAAAAUUUUGUUGCUUUCCAUUACAUGCAUCUUUGCAGUAUACAGUAUGUGCCUGAGUUUCCUGUAUUUUGCAAACAUGAUAGCUGUCAACCUUAGAAUGAUAUUUCCAAGAACAACAUAUGGAAUUAUUAGCUUUAGAUUAUAUUUCAUUUAAAGGAGAAUGACAGGUUUUACAUAAACUUGUCCAGAGAGUUUUCCCACGUGCAAAGUCUGAGCAUAUAAAUCAGCCCAACAUCUCUAGAGAUUGGACAUCAAAUGAAUUCAAAUGGUCUCCAAAACCACACUUUUGGCCUCCCUACUUGAGAUUUCUGUCUGAAGACAAAUGAGAUGAAGAGAAGCCAUUUCUGAACUUUAUCAAGUGUGCUUAGUGUAGUGGUGGCAGUAUAGUCUAAUGGUUAGAGGAUGGAGUGGCACUCAGGAGACCUGGGUUCAAUUCCCACCUCUGCCACUGACAUGUUAGGUGACUUUGGGCAAGUUGUGUCUCCUCCCUAUGCCUCAGUUUUGCCAUUUGUAAAGUGGAGAUAACGAUACUGACCUUUGUAAAACACUCUGAAACCUGCUGAUGAAGCCAGUCAAGAUAAGAUAAGAUGUUGCUGAGCCAUCCUAGGAAAGGAAUUGUGUGUCAGGGAGUCACUGUUCCUUCCCUAUUCGCCCCGCCCUGUGGUGGAGAAUAAUUUGCUGCUAGUGUAUGCCAGCAACAAAUUACUACCCACCACACUAUGCUGGCUCAGCUCUUCUGGCCAGUACAUUGAGAGUGUAGAGUCAGAUUUCUGGUUGCUGCUCUGGGAGGGGGAGUAAGUAGGUGUGUAGCACCCCUUGUCUCAGCAUCCUUGGACUCAAGAUAAGAGCUAGGUAUUAUUUUUCCAAGUUCCCCAUGUGACAGAGUUAAGCUGGGCAGCUGCAAGAGAGUCAUUUUUUUCCCCCACCCUUAAAGUUUUGCUUUUAAUGCCACAGUGAAAAAAUGCAUUUUUGUUGCACCUAUUAACAGUUUACUUUUGGAUAAACACAAUGAAAAUAUGAUUCUCUUGCUUUCCUACAAUAGCUUAAGUCAGUAGUACUUCACAGUAUGUUUGGUCCAAUUGUAAGGCACUUCUUUGUACUGCAGCUACUUCACUUGGCUGAAUGCUUCUUGACCAUGUCAAUGUAUUCCUGCACAUCAUCAGGAGAUCCCAGGUGCUCUCUGGUGGAUAUCCUCAGGCACUAUAUCCAGCAUGGACGGCAGGUAUGUGAGCCCUAGAAAGAUAAAGGCCUUUUUUCCUAUAAACUGUGAAGGGGUGACCUCCGGCUUCUCCAGGGUGAGAGGCUGCUCUCCUCCCUACCAAGGGAAACCCCCAAAGUGGAUUGCCUGCUUAGGGGAAGGAACACACAGAGAGAGAGAGAGCAUGGGAAAGGUAUUCCCCUUUUGCUUUGUGUUUGUAAAUUGGUUCCUUUUUGUUUGCUGGAGGAACCGUCCUUGGUCCUGUCCUGAGGCCUACUUUGGAAGAACUGAUAAGAGAACACAGAGGGGGAGGACAAACACCGUCUAAAGUGGGGCUGGUUUAAACCAGGCCCCACCACUGCAAGAGGAGGAAGUGCAGAGUCCGGCGAGGUGGAGAGGCCUUGCCACAUCCUAAAAUCUUGGUUGAAAAAUCUGUAAGAAAAUUGAAUGAUGCUUCAAUGCUUGAUGCAUCUACACCAGAUCUAACCAUAUGGAGACAUCAGGUGUUCAGAUGCAGAGUUUGUUUGGACCAAUCUCUAUACAUUGACAGCCACAUACCUAUCUUGACUUCAGCGCUAAAUCCAUAGAGUGACAGGUCAGUGUCUGGUGCAUACACAAUUUUAAAUUCUCAGGAUCUUGCCUAUUUGGUUGAACUUUUCCAUUUGUUUUGGCAGGUUAAGUCCCUUCUCCCCAACCCCAACACCGGACGUUUCCGCUAACUCAUGAUUUACAGCGUGAUUUACUGUGCAUUCAUUUAGA